rnacentral:rRNA from 1 species
UGCGUAGGCGGGUUUCUAAGUCAGAGGUGAAAGCCUGGAGCUCAACUCCAGAGCUGCCUUUGAUACUGGAAGUCUUGAGUAUGGCAGAGGUGAGUGGAACUGCGAGUGUAGAGGUGAAAUUCGUAGAUAUUCGCAAGAACACCAGUGGCGAAGGCGGCUCACUGGGCCAUUACUGACGCUGAGGCACGAAAGCGUGGGGAGCAAACA